UGUAGCUUUGCGAAGAGAAAGUACAAUGGCCCCAGGGAGAUGAGCCUGUAAGAGCUGAUGGGACUGUCAACCUGAGUCCGCUGGAUCCCUGCACAGGACCUGAGCUGUCGCCACUGGCCUGGCGGCAAGUGGGGACCUGGAAGAGCAUUGUAGGAAGGGGAUGAAGAGGCUAUCAAGACUCCUGGAACUGGAAUUACGGACGGCUGUGAGCCACGCGAUGAGCCCUGGGAGUCGAGCUCAGGUCUCUGCGAGAGCCACAGUCCUGACCCAGCUACAGAAGAAGCAAGACGUGACUGCCUCGCCGAAAAAGAUGAGGGAAAGAAGCUUAAGGAAAUUAAAUGCCAAAAGGCCAGGCCAAACUGAAGCCAUUUCUCUGGAGCCUUGUGGGAGUGAAGAAAUGACAGAUCGAAUGUGAACAGUUGUCAAAUUCAGGAGCAUAAAAAUCUGAAUGUUCCAGAAAAAUCAGCAGUAGUGGAAGUCUACUCCCCUACUAGUACUUUUGGAGAGCCCCGGAAACUCAAUAAAACCUCAGUGAUUGACAAUUAAAUAAGAUAA